UACAGAGGGUGCAAGCGUUGUUCGGAAUUACUGGGCGUAAAGCGUGCGUAGUCGGUAUUGAGAGUCGCGGGUGAAAUCCCAGGGCUUAACCCUGGAACUGCCUGCGAGACCUCAGUACUAGAGUGUGAGGAGGGAUAGUGGAAUACCCAGUGUAGCGGUGAAAUGCGUAGAGAUUGGGUGGAACACCGGUGGCGAAGGCGGAUCUCUGGGCCAUUACUGACGCUGAGGAGCGAAAGCGUGGGGAGCGAACAGG
rnacentral:rRNA from 1 species